rnacentral:rRNA from 1 species
GAUUAACGCUGGCGGCGUGCCUAACACAUGCAAGUCGAGCGGCAGCGAGUUUUACACUGAAUUCUGGAAGCUUCUAGUUGAAAGAGAAGAUUUAUUCAAGAAUUUUGUGUAAAAUGUCGGCGAGCGGCGGACGGCUGAGUAACGCGUGGGAACGUACCCCAAAGUGAGGGAUAACGCAUCGAAAGGUGUGCUAAUACCGCAUAUGGUCUUCGGAUUAAAGCCUUCGGGCGCUUUGGGAACGGCCUGCGUAAGAUUAGAUAGUUGGUGGGGUAAUGGCCUACCAAGUCGACGAUCUUUAACUGGUUUGAGAGGAUGAUCAGUCAGACUGGAACUGAGACACGGUCCAGACUCCUACGGGAGGCAGCAGUGAGGAAUCUUCCACAAUGGGCGAAAGCCUGAUGGAGCAACGCCGCGUGCAGGAUGAAGGCCUUCGGGUUGUAAACUGCUUUCAUAAGUGAGGAUUAUGACAGUAACUUAUGAAUAAGGAUCGGCUAACUACGUGCCAGCAGCCGCGGUCAUACGUAGGAUCCGAGCGUUAUCCGGAGUGACUGGGCGUAAAGAGUUGCGUAGGUGGUUCAAUAAGCGAAUAGUGAAAGCUGGUGGCUCAACCAUUCAGACUAUUAUUCGAACUGUUGAACUCGAGAGCAGAAGAGGUAGCUGGAAUUUCUAGUGUAGGAGUGAAAUCCGUAGAUAUUAGAAGGAACACCGAUGGCGUAGGCAGGCUACUGGGUUGUUUCUGACACUGAGGCACGAAAGCGUGGGGAGCGAACCGGAUUAGAUACCCGGGUAGUCCACGCCGUAAACGAUGGAUACUAGCUGUUUGGGGUAUCGACCCCCUGAGUAGCGAAGCUAACGCGUUAAGUAUCCCGCCUGUGGAGUACGAUCGCAAGAUUAAAACAUAAAGGAAUUGACGGGGACCCGCACAAGCGGUGGAUCAUGUUCUUUAAUUCGAUGAUAACCGAUAAACCUUACCAGGUCUUGACAUCCUUGGAAUCUUUCAGAAAUGAGAGAGUGCUUUUUAAGAGCCAAGUGACAGGUGAUGCAUGGCCGUCGUCAGCUCGUGUCGUGAGAUGUUUGGUUAAGUCCAUCAACGAGCGCAACCCUUGUCAGUAGUUGUAUUUUUCUACUGAGACUGCCCCGGUAACGGGGAGGAAGGAGGGGAUGACGUCAGGUCAGUAUUUCCCUUACGUCCUGGGCUAGAAACGUGAUACAAUGGCUAGUACAAUGCGCAGCGAAGCCGCGAGGUGAAGCAAAUCGCAUCAAAGCUAGUCCCAGUUCGGAUUGUAGGCUGAAACUCGCCUGCAUGAAGUCGGAAUCGCUAGUAAUCGCAGAUCAGCAUGCUGCGGUGAAUACGUUCCCGGGUCU